GACGAACGCUGGCGGCGUGCUUAACACAUGCAAGUCGAACGGAAAGGCCCUGCUUUUGUGGGGUGCUCGAGUGGCGAACGGGUGAGUAACACGUGAGUAACCUGCCCUUGACUUUGGGAUAACUUCAGGAAACUGGGGCUAAUACCGGAUAGGAUCUCCUGCUGCAUGGUGGGGGUUGGAAAGUUUCGGCGGUUGGGGAUGGACUCGCGGCUUAUCAGCUUGUUGGUGGGGUAGUGGCUUACCAAGGCUUUGACGGGUAGCCGGCCUGAGAGGGUGACCGGCAACAUUGGGACUGAGAUACGGCCCAGACUCCUACGGGAGGCAGCAGUGGGGAAUAUUGCACAAUGGGCGGAAGCCUGAUGCAGCAACGCCGCGUGCGGGAUGACGGCCUUCGGGUUGUAAACCGCUUUCGCCUGUGACGAAGCGUGAGUGACGGUAAUGGGUAAAGAAGCACCGGCUAACUACGUG
rnacentral:rRNA from 1 species